GUGCUUGGGCUCCAUCUUCUCCUUUGGGCCUUACAACAACUUCUAUGAGGUCUAAGAGGUUAGCAUGGAGAGUGACAUAAUAAUCAGAGAGAUCUUUUUACAAAAAAGGAAAUUGCUCAGCUUUUGUCUACUGGGAUCACCUUGAUACAGUGUGGGUCAACAAUAGUAUUUUGCUUAAGGAUGCUCACUGCAUACAAUUGCUCUCAAGAAUACCUACCUUCCAUGAAACGUGUCUUAAAAGGCGGAGGAAAAUAAAGGCUGGAUGCUGCCCUCAAGGAAACUAUGAUAAGAUGCGGAAUGCUCUCCACCCACUUCCCAUCUUCACAGCUUGAGCAAGAAGCCUUCACCUUCAUGUUUAAAUAGCAACGAGAAUGGCACCCAUCCCUGCGACAGGUGAUCCUGAGAUGUUUCUCCAACCUUCUUGCCAGAAACUAGUUCCAAGCUGUGGAUAAGGAACACUCUGAAGCUGUCAUUCUUACUUUUACCCAUUGGCAUGAAUAACCUUUGAGGAACAGCUGUCUGGUCAAAUUGAGAACCAUCAGUUGCAGAAUGAUAUAGGGCUUAGAAAUAUAUGAUUAGAAAAUAAUAUGAUUUCAUUGUAUUUUUAUAAGUAAGUAAUACUAAAAUAAAAUAAUAGCAGCUAAAACAAACUAAGCUUCAAAUCUAUGCCAGACAUGAAAAUGAAUGCUCUAUGCACUUAAUUUUAUUUAAUUUUCAUGUCACUAGGACCAUUUUACAGUUGAGGAAAUAGACAUGCAAUGGCUUAUUGAAGGCUGCACAGCCAGUUGAUAGUUUUUUGAAAACCGACUGUCUAUUAUCAUCAGAGCCCAUGCUCUUUCUCACACAUCCUUCCUCUUGUUAACCGCUAUUCAGGUUUUUUCACUUAAAAAAUGAAUAUGUAUAUGUACACAUUUAUGUAUACGUAUAAGUAGGUGCACGUUCACUCCAAUGUUAGUGAUGCAUGGUUCUUAAAUGAUUAGAACUAGUAUCUCUGUGUGGACAUUACGGGAAGAACUUUUGCUGGAACCUAAGAAAAAAAAAAAAUUUAACCAUGCUGACUGCCUCCGAAGGAGGAAACUCCCUCUUUGGAGGGUAUUCGUGCAAGGCUGAAGGAUUAUUGUUAGCAAUGUUGUAGAACAGAUACUUGCCAUGAAUGGGUAGUUGGGGUAAAUGACCUUAAAGUUCUCCUUUGUUUGUAGGAGCUUAGGUGAAAGGAUUCUAAAGGAUCCCUUUUAGAUUUUCCAAGCAGUUUGUUUCUUCUGGGACUUACCUCCCCAUGAUGCAGGACUCAGAGAUGACCUCCUUGUACUCACAUUGGCCCAGCUUGACUCUGUUCCUUGCAAUAGACAAUUGAACCAGAAAAGUUACCAGAUCCAAGAUAAGUGCAAUAGCCUCCCAUCCUCAGGAAUUUGGAAUUGGGAUGAAGAAAAGCAAGUCUGGGUUGGCCUCUUCAACAGGAAAUUUAAACUGAAGAACACUGUACUCCCUGUGCAGACCAGGGAUUAAAGGAUAGGAUGCACUGAGUGGGAGAAACAAAGAUGACAGGUGGUGAGGAAUUAUCACCUCGUCCCUGAUGGCCUCUAAUUCCCAGUACCAGUUCUUCCGGGAGACUUCCAAGUUCUGAGCGACACUCCUAUACCUUUACAAUUAAGUUCCCUGAUGAGUUUCUAUUACUUGCAACCAACCAGAAGAGGCUCAAAUAAGAAAGGGUGGGUGAAUAGGGAUCAGCUCUCUCUUGAAAAGUAGCAAAAGGAUGGUUCUCUGUGCUGUGACCCACUGUCUGCAUUUACUUCACCUUUGAGACCUGUGAGUCCAAGUCUGGGAGUGCUCAGGAGAGUCCAUUUCUGUGUUCAGGGAGUUGUACAAGUGCAAGGGAGAUUUGCAGGGCUUUGUUUGAUUUUGCUAUAGCUUAGAGGGGUUAGUAAAAGCAAGGGUGAAAGUGAAGGAAAUGUUACCCAACAAAGGGAGCUCAGGAAACUUGUGUUUUAGAGCAAAUCCAACCAUUACAUCCCAGGGUUUGGCCCAAGUCUCAAUCUCUUUAGGCAAGUUAAUAUUGUUGUCUUCUAUAGUUCAGAAAUCCUUGGCUCAUACAUGAUAAAUCAUCUCUGAGAAUAGCUUUAGGGUGAAACUAGUGAAGCCUGACUGCUGCUUUCCAGUGAAAAAUUUGGGGCCACCUCUUGAGCAAACUCUUCCAUUGGGCAUGCUUAAUCGGGAGAAACAUUACCCCAGAGAGACAAAUAAUCUUCCCAUUCUUAAGGAAGUCUGGACUGUUUUUCUAGCACACAUGGACAACUCAUAAUUAUUCUUAAGUAACCCUGAGAAUUUUAACAUGAAUUGAGUUAUGUGUUUCUUGUUAAAUGGAUCGAAUUUCAACAAAGCCCGGGAAACAUCUUGAAAAAUCACAUGAAUGCAAUUUCCAAAGAAAACAAUCCAAGAAUUACUGCCAAAGAGUUUUAUUUCCACUAGGAAGGAAGAGAAGAGUUUCAUUUUGCCCCCCACACAGACUGUAUGUUCAAUUUGUGGUCUGCAAUGGAAAAUUCUGCUGAUUUUGCUGAAUUCGGGAGAGGAAAGAAAUGAAGUGGACUAUUGUUGUUUGAGUGAUAAAACUGUCUUUCUUUCUCUAACAUUAAUAUGUUAUUAGCAUCUUCAAUUUGAUUCUACAAAUAUUGAGUUUUAAUGGUGUGUGAGGUACCAUGGGAGAGGGAACAAAGAACUUACCACAUGAUGCUUAUCCCAUGGGUCCUAUAAAUUAGACCUACAAGUAGGGCAUUGCCAGCCCACAGAAUACCCUUGUAUAAAUUAGAAAAAGAUGCCCCUUCCUGAAAGAUGUAACCUUGUGGGCAACCAAUUAGCACAGGGGACUUUUGUGCAAAUUAGAAAAAAAAAAUCUCUUCCUCUGAUGGGCAUAAUCUUGUAUCAAGGUACAGAACUUGAUUUUAUUCUUCUUCCCUUUGACUGGAUACUCUUGUGCUGGACACAACUUGCUCAUUUGAUUGCAACAUUCCUACCUACCAGAUAUGUAAAGGGCUAAUUUGGGAAUCAUCCCUUGUCUAACUGGAUGCAAUACAACCACUAUUUUUCAUCUUCAGUGAGUGGAAGGACCAUCCGGGAGCUUGUUAGGAAUACCUGAACUUAACCACAGAUAUUGUGAUUCAGGAUAACUGAGAUAAGGUCUAGAGAUCAUAUUUACAACACACUCCUCCAGAAGUAGUUGUGAUAUAGGUGAUCCAAGAACAAUAGUUUGAGAAGUAAAGAUGUAGGAAAUAAUGGGCUGGGCCAUCCAGAGAGAGAAGAAAUCAAGGCUGGCUAAACUUAUUGCAGAAGAUGUACAGAAGAUGGGGAACUUUAUUUAUGUGAUAAAUAAACUGUAAUUUCUGGAACUUUUGCCUCAGUAGAAAAAUGUUUUCAUUUCCUAAAAUGGAGGAGAAAAGCUCAGCCAGGCUUAUUUGAAGUUGUCCAGAAGAGAACAAUGACAGCUAAAGAAAAUUGUUUCUAAGAUGAAUCCCUGAAGUAAGAUUUGUUUGGGGAACUGAAAACUUUUCAGUCACUAGUACUAACUUCUGCCUUUAGACAAGGGGGAAAAAAAAAUGAUAAAGAGCCAAUGUGUUAGCUGGGACUAGACAGAGAUUGACAGUAACACCAAGACAUCCACCAACAUGAUAACUUUGCAACCAUCUUUCCCAUCUGCUUCCCAGAACAUUCCUCCAGUAGCACCCAUAACUCUCCAAGGCACUGCUGAUAAUACCACUGCAUACUUAA